UACGUAGGGCGCAAGCGUUAUCCGGAAUUAUUGGGCGUAAAGAGCUCGUAGGCGGUUUGCCGCGUCUGCCGUGAAAGCCCGGGGCUCAACUCCGGAUCUGCGGUGGGUACGGGCAGACUAGAGUGAGGUAGGGGAGACUGGAAUUCCUGGUGUAGCGGUGAAAUGCGCAGAUAUCAGGAGGAACACCGAUGGCGAAGGCAGGUCUCUGGGCAUUAACUGACGCUGAGGAGCGAAAGCAUGGGGAGCGAACAGG
rnacentral:rRNA from 1 species